ensembl:lncRNA
GGGGUCCCUGUCCCUGCCCUCAGCUCCUCUGAACAGCGAUGCUCCUUUCAGUGCAGCAGUUUCCUGGUGCCGUACGUUUUCAUCCAGAUCAGUAACGCGUCUUCCUACAGUUCAGCAGACAUGUCUUUAACCCUGGAGGUGAUUGGGACUGUCUGGUGAUCCGUUAAAGAUAACCUCUGAACUGCUGAGGGAAGCCUCCUCUAUAUAUCCACGGGUAGGGGGUGUAGGGUGGAGUAGGGGCUGUAGGGGGCUGUAGGGUGGUGUAGGGGGUGUAGGGUGGUGUAGGGGGUGUAGGGGCUGUAGGGUGGAGUAGUUUGAGACUUGUUAAUUAGUCCAGUAUCAUUUUAAACUAAUUAUUAUUCUGUUAACCACUCUACAUUAUCCAGGUGAGUGGUGACUCCAUCACAUAAAGACGUGUUCUGAAGAGGCUCCUGUUUGUAGUCUUUGUGGUCUCACGUCCUUUAGAGUUUCUGCAGAGCUUCACCCCAACAGUUAAUCUCUCUCUCUCUCUCUCUCUCUCUCUCUCUCUCUCUCUCUCUCUCU